rnacentral:piRNA from 1 species
GCGAAGAAAAUGUUCGGACAGGUCGUAUC